UUCAGUCAUGCAUCAUACGUGUUGAUCAUUAUGUCGGGCAUGUGCCGUGGUGAAUAUCGUGUGUUCAUUCUUGUUUCCGGUUUGUUUCUUCCCGAUAGAGUUCCGCAAGCAUGUCGGAAUGUGAGGAUCCGUUCGGCUACGUUGGUUCGUGUGCUUCACGUAGUCGUUCUUUUUCCAAGCGGGAUCUCAGGCAAGAUGAUCAUUUCCCUAGAUACCAUUACUAUGCAAGUUGUUUCGUUUCUAUCGCUAUGUCUCAUUGCCUACCACCUGUUAAAUGUUAGCCUCUCAACUUGGGGUGGGCAUUCGGUAUAAACCGAAUUUUCGGUUUCUACCGUUCGGUUUUUAUUCCAAUUCGGUUUACGAAACUAAAAACCAAAAAUGCAAACAUAAAAAAGAAA
rnacentral:lncRNA from 1 species